CUGUUAUGUCUGUCUUGAAGAAAAGGUUUUAUCUUUUUUGCUUUUGGUUAAUAAUCUUCUGUGUUUAUAAUUAUAAGAUAACAGAGAUGGAAGCAAUAUUGUUACAGCAUAAUAUAGCAAUGCCAAGUCGACAUAUUCUGAAGAUCUCAGGUGUUCGUUGUAGCUUUAUCAUUGAUCUUUUGCGUGUUUAUAAUCAAAUAGGUAGUUUACAACUGUUGGAUUUCUGAGUGAAUCGGUGGAGCGGAAGGACAAAUUGUUGUGCAAUUCAAACAGAUCUGGAACUGGUUCUACAACAUGAGAUAUGCUCUAAGAGUAAGUACGAAUAAAGCUCCCGGGAAGCUAAAUGUGUCUUCCAUGCCUGGUGGUGUGGAUUUAACAAAUCAGAGGGAAAUGUGUUUCCCCCAUUAGCUAGUCUUAAACUUACUCAUAUGACUGGAAAUCAUGACCCCGGCUCUUUCAGGUAUAUUAGGUGCCUGCCUGCCUGUACUUGCAAUCAAGUUCCCGAUGUCAUGAGGAGUGGUUCAGACAACUCUUACUUGGAAUUUGAAGCCAAAUCUGCCAAGGAUGGUUCAUAGUGAUUCCCUUACACUACUGGAUCUUCAGUAUUUUAGCUGACUUAUGAUACCAAAUUGAAAACAAACCUAACAGGGGGUUACCUCUCACUCAGCGCGGAUCAAAA